AGACUUACAGGGAAGAGUAUCCUGUGCUCACAGAGUGCUUUUCCUAGGGUGUGGCUUGUCCAUUGCACUCUGAACAUGCUGACCCCUGUAAUCUCGCCAAGUGUGGGAAACCCAACCCCAUCAUUUGUGCUCCUUGGGGACUGUGUUUGCAUUCUACCCUGA
ensembl:snRNA U1 U1 spliceosomal RNA